rnacentral:misc_RNA from 1 species
AAGUCGUAACAAGGUUUCCGUAGGUGAACCUGCGGAAGGAUCAUUAACACGUAUCCAACGUUAAACAACCCUGUGAACUUUCAACGCUCUUGUAACCAGGCGGAACAGCAAUCCCGGUAAAUCAGUGGGCGGAAAGUUUUGAUUCGGGACCUCUGUCCAAAAGUUACAAUCGAGCUAGGAGCAGUGGCAUGGUUUCCCUAAGCAGUGCAGAAGGAUCCACUGAGUAAGGAUAAUGUCACAGGGCUAUAUGCCCCUUCAUUCACACCUUGCUCUCUCAUGCCCGCCGGAAACGCCGGGCACAAAAACCGAACAACUGUUAACAAUGGAUAUCUUGGUUCUC